AAAUAGCCCCCUAUGUUUUGAUUCUUUGGCAGUUUUGGCCCCCCAAGGCAAAAUAAAAAUAAAAAAUUUGACACGUGGCACUCACUUAGGGUGCCACGUUAGCGCUGACUGGGGGUUCAAAACUGCCAAAGAAUCAAAACAUAGGGGGUUGUUU
rnacentral:pre_miRNA from 1 species